rnacentral:rRNA from 1 species
UAGGGAAUAUUGGACAAUGGGUGAGAGCCUGAUCCAGCCAUGCCGCGUGCAGGAAGAAGGCGUUAUGCGUUGUAAACUGCUUUAGCCAGGGGAUAAAACGGCUCUGCGGAGCUAAUUGAAGGUACCUGGAUAAUAAGCCACGGCUAACUACGUGCCAGCAGCCGCGGUAAUACGUAGGUGGCAAGCGUUGUCCGGAUUUAUUGGGUUUAAAGGGUGCGUAGGCGGCCCUGUAAGUCAGUGCUGAAAUAUCCCGGCUUAACCGGGAGGGUGGCAUUGAUACUGCAGGGCUUGAGUACAGAUGAAGUAGGCGGAAUUGACGGUGUAGCGGUGAAAUGCAUAGAUAUCGUCAAGAACACCGAUAGCGAAGGCAGCUUACUAAGCUGUAACUGACGCUGAGGCACGAAAGUGUGGGGAUCAAAC